ACAACCCCCUUUACCUCUCUCCUAUCUUCCGGUUCGAUUUGAUGAAUUCAAAAACCCUAAUCCUAUUAUCAAUUGAAGACGGCUUCAAGGUAACUUGCAAUCGAACUUGAUUUUAGGUAACUUUCAACUUCUUUCAAUUGGUUAUCGUAUGAUACUCGUGGGUUUGUCGAAAACCCUAAUCGGUUUUCUGAGCGAUCUGAUAAAGGUAAAUCCAAAACCUACAUAUGUGUUUUUUUAAGGUUUUAUGAUCUUCAUUAUUCUGGAUUUGGAUUCAUCAGAUCUGGUUUUAAGGUUUUAAGCGAUUCUUUCAACCAGUGCAAAAAGAUGGGUCCUUCAAGAAACCCAACCUCUCUUCUUCUUCUUCACCAACACCAGCAGUUGAUGGUGAAACAAAAACACCAGCAGUUGUUGAAGAUGAGGAGAAUAAAUCGCAAAAGAAAGAACCCACAAAGUUGUUAACUUGGAAUGCCAACAGCUUUCUUCUUCGUGUUAAAAACAAUUGGCCUGAGUUCGCCAAGUUCAUCGAUGACAUUGACCCUGAUGUUAUCGCCAUACAGGAGGAAACUAAUGGAGAACGUAAGCGAAAGAAGCUAAAAAAUGAUGAAGAAAUUGGCAUAUUCUUGUAUUCCAUUUGAUAUAUUUCUUGAUCGGGAUUUGUUUUUUAUUAUCAUUGUUGGUUUUACCCAAUAUAUUUCCCUUUUUCACUCUCAGAGCCCUACAUGUAGUAGCAACUAACCCUACAUCAUUUGGUUUUUUUCUUUUUUCGUGUCGAUGUUUGAAAUUUGGUGAUCAAUUGGUUCAGGCAGGCUUUUCCAUGCGUUGAUAAAGUAAGUUAUCAUCAUGUACUUGAGAAGGCUAAGCCUCAGAAUGAUCCAGACGGAAGGCAUUAUUCUGCUUUUACUUACCUUAGACUUGGUCCACUUCUCAUGGAACCUCAUAAUAUUAUGGAGUUCGAACGAUUUAUCAAGAGAAUGCAUGGAGAGGCAAUUCUUGAAAUACAUGUGUAGACCAACGUGACGUUGUUUGGAAUACACAAGAUGUGCAUUAUCAUAUAUAUUAACCAGAUCACAAUGGGAAACUCUGGUCCUAUUUUGUGUUACUGUAAAUGUGAGUACAAGUGUAGAAAUCCGGGUCUACUUGAAGAAACAGAAGGUAUAUUAAUUAGUGAGUUUAGUGGCUUACUAAUGAUAGUGACAUUUGAGAUCAUUUGUUGAUACACUUGAAAUUUGCAUAAAUUAAAUGAGAUUUCAGCUUAUUUAUGUUC